UUUUCAGUCACUUUGCCGACGACGCAUCGAGUUUGGUGUUUUUUUCCUAGUGCGGCCGCAACUAAAUUAAAAUAGUCAACAAUAUUGUAAGAAAAUUUAAUAAAAACGCCAUAUUAUUGACUUGGAAUCGAUAAAGCAUGCGUACCAACAGCUGUUCAACUGCAUGAGCUAAAAAUCAGCUAAAUACAAUAAUAAAAAUAUUGGUAAAGCAAAUUAUAAUAGCUUCGUCUGCAUACUUACAUACAUAUGUAUGCAUGUGUGUAGUUGCACGUACCACAACAACAGAGGGGCAACCACAAGCACAACAACAACAGCAGAAGAAAAAGUAACUGAGAGAAAACAAUGCAGAACGCGCCACAAACGUGAAAGCAAAACGGAAUUAACAACAAAAAAAUCAAGCAAGAUUUUUCUACCAAUAAAAAUUACAUACAAAGAGACGAAAACACAGUUAUAUAUGUAUAAAUAGAUGCAUGUGUAUUGGCAUGCAACGAUAUUAACUACAAAGUCCUGCUGAUCACUAAGCCCAGAUGGAUAGCAGCGACGACGACGACAGCACCAAGUCGAUACCGCGGCCCAUCUAUGAGGCGACCUCGGCCAUUGAUAGCCCGCCUCCGACUCUGUGGGCAGGAACAACUGCCCAAGAGCGGGACGCAUUGCCCAAUAAGCGAUUGAAGUAUGUUGUCAGUUCUCCUCCGGACUCGGCCAAUGGCAGCAGUUCUUCCAACUCGAGCGCCUGGAAGGAGACAACCGCAGCGGCUGGGGGCCAUGCGUCGCUCACAAUGAAGCUGACCAAGGUGGCGCCACAUCAAGGCGAAACGAAGCCCACAAGCACAUCGACGCCCAAGCAGGAGGUGAAGGUGCGCGUGCCAAAGGAAAUGGUUGCCCUGCAGCGCUCUCACAAUGAGUCGAAAGUGCUGACCGGCUACGUCUCCGAUAGCGCCAAGAUUAAGCGCCGGAAGUCUCGCGCCAUUGCAGAGCAUCUAAUCAAGCAGUCUUCGACAGGUGGCAGCAGUCUGUCCAGCACACUACCCAGUUCGAGGAGCAGCACAAGAGUUAGAGGUAAGACGCUGAAGCGCAGCAAGAGCAUCCCCGCUCCAAUGUGGGAUUCUCUAGAGGAAUGGCAGCAGGCGACACAGCUGCCCAAAAAUCAGACAAAGAAGAGGCGCAACUAUUCGAUGGCUUGCGAUCCUGGCGAAGACACGUUGGCUGAUCUGAGCGCUAACGAGGAGACAGAGGAGGAGAGCAACAGCAGCCACCGGAGUCGAAUUCGUUCCCGCAGCAAGACCGUCUCGCUGAGUAGUGGCCAUAUGCGAUCUGAGCUCCAUCGAAUCGGUCCAUUGGAACAGGUAGAGGCAGAGGCAGAGGCAGAGGCGGACACGGACGGUGGAGAGUGGCGCACCAGCUCCACGGCGGAUACGGAUCCCAAUAUAUCCAUAUUCUCGGAUGCCACAGAUGACACCAAGAUAACGGGAUCGGUUGGUGGGGGCAGCGGCGAUGCACGCGAAGAACUGCAGAAAAGGCUCGACGAGAUUUGGCAGCCACCGCCAAGGAAUAACUGGGAUCCUUUCUGCUGGAAGUGCCGUGGCUGCGGCUCUCUGAUGCCCUGCUCCAAAUGCCUACGCUCCUUCCACGCCUACUGUGUGCGGCCUGCUUCUACGAAAUUCGACAGCUCCUGGAAAUGUCCUGAAUGUCUACUGAUCGAUAGCGCGCCCAAGCGGCCACGUCGCAAUGAUGUCUCCGUGGAUCUGCUCAGUCAGUUGCUCGCUUAUGCGCUGGAGCGCAUGAAGCUUGUGCGCGGGGUACACAAAUUGCGUGCACCACAGGAUGUACUGCCGGAUAGUUAUAGCAAAUACUUUGCCAAUCCGGUGAGCUUCGAAACCUUAGCAGAACGCAUCAAAAAUCACGCAUUUCACAGCGCCGACGAGUUUCUCAGCGAGGUGAAGUGGAUACAGCACAAUGCACUCAUUUUAGACUACGGAGAUGUGAAAGUGGAGCAAGCUUCUAAGGCAGUAGUCAAGGUCUGUCGGCAGGAGGCCAACGAGAUAGAUACCUGCGCCGAAUGCUAUUUGAAUGCCAACUCCAGUGACGAGUGGUUCGUGAAGGUGUGCACCCAGCCGCAUUUGCUGCUGUGGGCCAAGCUAAAAGGAUUUCCCUACUGGCCAGCCAAGGCUAUGGGCUGCGGUCCCAAUGCAGGCGUUAAUGUACGGUUUUUUGGGAAACACGAUCGCGCCAACGUGCCCGUUAAGGAUUGUUUUUUGUACUCCGCACAAGAUCCCAAUACGCAGACGAGCCGACGAUCUGCUCGCGAUCUGGCCGAGUGCAUUCGGGAGGUGGAGGUGCACAUUGAGCAUAUAAAGAAUAAAAUUGGCGCCUUCAACUAUGCUCCAUACCGUUUGCCCUACGACCCACAGGAGGAGCAACAGCAGCUGGAGAAAAUGAUGCCGGGCGUCAAUGAUGUCAUCAACAGGCAGUUGGCGCCUGCCAACAAGACGCCGCUGCAGUUCCUCAUACGCAAAACAGCCGGCGACAAAUUAUCAAUUGUGAAAAAGACGAAGGCAACCGAAUCGGGCAAUGAAUCUGAUCAGUCAGGUAGCCCCAUCAAAAAACCAAUCCACGAUGCUGAAUCCUCGUCGCCUCCAUCCACUAGCGAUCACCCGAAGCCGAAGAGCAGCAACUAUGAAGUGAUACCAAGAGCUGGCGAUGCGCUAAGAGAAUCUCGUGGGUGCACAGUGGUUCUUAAGCGCAAAUCCCUGGAGUCCUGCAAGACAUUAGCCAAGGUUUCGUCAACUGUCACCGGGGAGCAAGUGCCCAUAAUUAAACGCAAACACUCACAGAGUGAUGCCAGCAGCGAGACGAGCCAUCAUGGCAGCAGUUCAGAGCAGAGGCGACGGGCAAAGCACGCACGCAAAGCACCGGCAGACGAAUGCCAGGACGAUGAUGAGGAGGGGGAGGGGGAACAGGAGCCAACUGAAGGGGAAGCAGAACAGCUCAAAGUUGACAAUGAAACAUCAGCUCCAACCAUAACGGGCUCAACUGAAGCAAAUCAAGGGGUUGAGUCGGUGGUGGAACUGGUGCGCAGACGGCAAGGCGUAACCAUAACCAAGAUACCCAGGGAUCAACAACAGCAGCAGCAGCAACAAAUUCAACAACAGCAACAACAGCAGCAACCACAACAGCAACAACCACAGCAGAAGCAGCCGCAACCACAGCCGAUUCCUACCAAGCCGAAUGAGCCAGCAGCUGUUAAUGAGACCAUAGCAAGACAGCGUGCAGUGGAGCGACAGCAGCAACAGCUCAUCAGCAAGGUGGUGCCUUUUGUGGAGAUCAAAAAAGAGGUACUGUCUGAGCCAGAGGAAAAUGAGGAGGAAAAUGGGCGUCCAAGUGCAACUGCGACACAACCGAUGCCAGUAGAGGAGGAACAGCAGCAAGUACCAAUUGCACAGUCAGCGCCAGAGAUCAGCCCGCCGACUGCUGCACCACCCGCCCAACCCGAAGUUCCACGAGCUGCUGAAGCCAUUGAGCCAGUUAAGAUCAAGGAAGAGGUGCUCAGCGAGGAGGAAAUGGAAACGGAUCACAAUGAGCCUGCAAAGCCGUCUACAUUGCCCAAUCGAGAAGCGCAGCCUACCGCAAUCAACUCUGUUGAGGCCACACCCCCUCAAAACGUAGUUGCAGCAGCGCCUGAAACCUUUGUGCGCUUCGUAGGCGAUACCACUAUACAGAGAUUGAGUCAGAAACAGGCGCCCAAAGUCCCCGAAGCGACGGCAACUACGGCGACGACGAUGACGGCGGCUCAAACAGCAAAACGUGGCUCUUUGCGAGGCGUGCCUCAUGGUCCAUUACCAGCGGCAGCUCAGUCACCCGCCUCAACGCCACCACCGGCGCCGGCAUCACCUGCGCUGUCAGUCGCAUCCAUGUCGAGCAACAUUCAGCGACCAGUUCCACAAUCCUCGCCCAAGCUGCAACAGGCAGUGGGUCAGCCGUUGCGCGUGAAGACUGACAAAUCGUUGAAUGAGACAGCACCACAGUCCGUGCUAGCAUUGCCAGCUGCCACGCCCACCUCAAGCCUGCUCAAGUCCAACAUGGUGGUCAUACCCAUGGAACCGCGCAGCACCAACGGAGCUGGCGGCAGCAGCAUUGGCAGCAACAGUAGCAGCGCUUGCAAUCUCAACAAUGCCAGUCUGAUGAGCAUACCAGUGCCCCCGCUGAGAGCUGUCUCCAAGAAUACGCUGCAAUCCACAAAUGUGAUGACCUCGAUCACGGCUGUGCCGGUUCCAGCACCUGCGCCCACAUUUCCCAACAGCUCGCUGCCGCCGCCGCCACUGGCGGGGCUAACCACAGCGACAACGGCCACGAUUCGGCCAGUGGGCAGUGGCUCAGAGUCGGGUGGCCUGCUGGCCAGCGCUCUGAAUGGCCUGCCCAGUGAUACCCUGGUUAGUGAAUCCAUUCCGGCGGAACCUAUUACGCCGGGAUUGGCGACCGCUUUGAGCGAGUUGCUGUUGCGUCCUGGGCCACCCAAGCUGACGAUGCGGCCGUGCGGCCCACUGCAGUCAGAUGGUUCCAAUUUGUAUCCAGCACAAGCUGGACCACUGUCCACCAAACUGAAGGAGAAUGCGCACAAGAUUACGGACUACUUCAUCUCGGUCAUUGAGGACACUCUCAGCGAUCUAGCUGGAGGAGAGCCCAGUGUGCUGCAGGCCAAGAUUGCUGGCCUGACGCUGGAGAACGAGCGCAUGAAGCAGCACUACGAGCGGCAGAUUGCGGACUUGCAACGCUCCACAGAGAUGAUGAUCUCUGAGAUGCGCAAGACCAUGGAACAGGAGAACAAGCGGGUGAUUAAUGAACUGCGACAGCAUAGCACACUAGAGCGGAUGCGAGCCGUGGAGGAAGCCAAGAAGAAGCAAUGGUGCGCGAAUUGUAUGCGCGAGGCGCAGCUCUAUUGCUGCUGGAACACCUCCUACUGUGACUAUCCCUGCCAGCAGAUGCAUUGGCAGCGUCACUCCGCCACUUGUGGCCAAGCAUCCACGGUGCAGGCGCAGGCACAAACGCAGCCGCAGGUGCAGGUGCAGUCGUCGGUUCAGGUGCAGGUGCAGGCGCAACCCGAAAUAACAGGUCGUGGCAAGCACAAGCAAAUGGCCAGCACAACGCCUGCUUCCAGCCAGCAAUUAAAUCGAACUUCCGUUGUGGGCCCUCCCAACAAAAAGUGGACGCAUCAGCCGAUGAUAUCGCUGGUGAAUCCCGUACCGCCCGCCUCCACCGAGAUGCUCAAAUUGCCCAAUAACACUUUUCUGCGACCCGUCUCGCUGCCCUCCACAAUGCCUGCCCCGAACAGCAGCACCAUUGUCACUCCAGUCACCCUUAUCACACCCGCCACAACCAGUCAUCUGGGCAACACGAUCAUGACGACUCAGCGGAACAGUCAACUCAACUAUGCUGCAAAGCAAACGCAGCCGCAGCCGCUUCCCGUGCAGCGCUACAAUAUACCCUUGCCCAUCACAGUCAGCAGCAAUGCGCAGUUCGGACACAUCACGGAGCAGCAUCAGAAGCACGUGGCAAAGUCCACCAGUCGAGGCUCUCUCAAAGGCAACAGCCGUGCCCGCAAUGCAAACAAUCCCAUCAACAAUAUGAACAACAUGAACAAUAACAACAGCAACAACAACAACAACGCCCAGGCAAUGCGCCACAACCAAAUCAAUCACGGCUUUCAACAUUUUAUACAUGUAAUUCGUAUUGAGCAGUAAAGCUCUUCUUGUAUAAGCUUGCAGAGAGCAUUCCAGAAGGAAUUCCGUAUAUGUAAUUGUGAAAGCUCUAAUUAUAAUUUUGAUCGAGAUACGACGCCGAAUUGGGAUAAAACAUAGUUCAGUCUCUAUCACAAUGGUAUAGAUUGUCGAUUACAUGAAGUAACAAUUACUUCGAGUGCAGUUGAAGGGUCCGAGUGCUACAAACCUUAACACUAGCUGUAUACAUAUUGAUUAAAGAAUAACAAUUAAGAAAAAUUAGGAUUAACGCAAGAUUUAUUUUACUGACAUGUAUACAUAUAUAUAUAUAUAGAUAUAUAAAUAUAUUGCUGUAAUUUUAAUACAUGGCUCACAUAGCAUGUAAAGUAUAUAUAACCAUGAGAUGGACUUUUCUACUAAUAAUUACUAACUUCACCCAAUGGUCAACUAUUUUUUUUAGUUCUAAAUAUGUAGUUUAUAUUAUCAUAAGAUCAUCUAUCGGGAGUCUACGCCAACCGAAGGCAUCUGUACAUUCAUCGUAUGUAUCGACUCGUUAAGAAACCUUGAAAUCUAUAUAACUCUAAGUUCAUAAGUAACUAGAAUAUAGCUCUAAGCUGAAUAAAAUGAAGACAUGUUCCGACGAUCAUAUAA